GAGUUGUAAUUUGUAGAGGGCGCUUUGGUGUUGGUAGCGGUCCAAGUUCCUUGGAACAGGACGUCACAGAGGGUGAGAAUCCCGUACGUGGUCGCUAGCCUUCUCCGUGUAAAGCCCCUUCGACGAGUCGAGUUGUUUGGGAAUGCAGCUCUAAAUGGGAGGUAAAUUUCUUCUAAAGCUAAAUACUGGCCAGAGACCGAUAGCGCACAAGUAGAGUGAUCGAAAGAUGAAAAGCACUUUGGAAAGAGAGUCAAAUAGCACGUGAAAUUGUUGAAAGGGAAGCGCUUGCAGUCAGACUUGCCUGUAGUUGCUCAUCUGGGCUUUUGCCCGGUGCAUUCUUCUGCAGGCAGGCCAGCAUCAGUUUGGGCGGUUGGAUAAAGGUCUCUGUCAUGUAUCUCUCUUCGGGGAGGCCUUAUAGGGGAGACGUCAUGUAACCAGCCUGGACUGAGGCCCGCGCAUUUGCUAGGAUGCUGGCGUAAUGGCUGUAAGCGGCCCGUCUUGAAACACGGACCAAGGAGUCUAACAUCUAUGCGAGUGUUUGGGUGUCAAGCCCGAGCGCGUAAUGAAAGUGAAUGGAGGUGGGAACCCUUUGGGUGCACCAUCGACCGAUCCUGAUGUCUUCGGAAGGAUUUGAGUAAGAGCAUGGCUGUUGGGACCCGAAAGAUGGUGAACUAUGCUUGAAUAGGGU
rnacentral:rRNA from 1 species